rnacentral:rRNA from 1 species
CAAUAGCGUAUAUUUAAGUUGCUGCAGUUAAAAAGCUCGUAGUUGGAUUUCGGGUGGGAAUGGCCGGUCCGCCGUUUCGGUGUGCACUUGCUACGCCCACCUUGCUACCGGGGACGUGCUCUUGAGUUCACGCUCGGGACACGGAGUCGGCGAGGUUACUUUGAGUAAAUUAGAGUGUUCAAAGCAGGCCUACGCUCUGAAUACAUUAGCAUGGAAUAACACGAUAGGACUCUGGCCUAUCUUGUUGGUCUGUAGGACCGGAGUAAUGAUUAAGAGGGACAGUCGGGGGCAUUCGUAUUUCAUUGUCAGAGGUGAAAUUCUUGGAUUUAUGAAAGACGAACUACUGCGAAAGCAAUCGCCAAGGAUGUUUUCAUUAA